UCAGAGAGAGUAGAACUGUUUUGGACUUUAUGUUGUAGAAAGAGAUUAAAUAUUUUUGCUCGGAUUAUUUGUUGUUUGAAAUGUCAAUUUGGUUAAACAAUAACUUUUUAACGUCAUUUGUAAUAAACUUUUAACUUUAAAUGUGUGUGUAUAUAUUAGUAUUGUUAGAAUUACCAACUUUGUAACGAGUCAUUUUUACAUUUUUAACCUUUCUAUUCAGAGACUUUUAACAUGCACGAGGUGUUUGUAUUUAACAAUCUUUUAACAAUCUUUUAAACAUUUGUAACUCUUUACACGUAUAUUAAUUUUGUGUUUUUAUGUUCUAGAGAAGUUUCUCGAACAGAAGUUUUGGGAAGGAUAUUUUGACAAUUUUUUGUCGUUAGUUCAAAUUUUUUACUGAGAAUGUAGUAAGUUGGGAAUGUUUGAUGAAAAGUUAGUGAAUCCCAUUUUUAGGAACCAGUCUAUCCUUUCUUUUCUUUUCUCUUAGUCUGGUAACUGAACUUUGGUUGUAUUUGCUAAAUUUUCAACAAUUUUGGGAGAAAGAUAGAUUAGUUAGCGAAUUUAGACGUGUGUACCAGCUUUAGCGCUCCUUUUCUUUGUGUUGUAGCGCACGGUCACAUUUGUCAGUUGAUUUGCUAAAUUUUCUAUUACAUGGUGUAGAGAUAAUAAGGAUUAAUAGAUACAAUUUAAAGUACAUUUUGUACGUGACAUGUGUAAUAAAAUUACCGCUAACAGAAUAUUUCAGAUUCCUACUUCUAAAAGUCUAACAUUUCAGUUUCAAACUUACUUUUCAGAAAGACGAUCCUUUUCUUCUCAAAGACAUGAAAGUGUUUACCUGAUAUUACUUUAUUAACUUGCAUCUUCUGUAGGAAGUGUUAACAGGGGAUGUUUGGUAUUUUCUGUUGGGAUGAGUUAGGAGCAGCUUGCUCAGCGUGAGUUUUUUGGUUUUAUAAGAAUGCUGUCGUUUCGAUCAACAUGCUAUUACAUGUUCUUCGCUGAUCCCGAGCCUUUAGGGACUCAGUUUGAACCUGUUUUUAAACGACAGAAUUCAUGUAUUUUACGUUUUAGAACUGUUUAGUACAGUGGUGUGUGUCAAUGAUUUGUUAGUGACUCAUUAUUGACUCUCUAGAGGUUGUGUUUAAAGCUUGAAUAGCUCCUAAUAUUUAGUUUUAGUACGCAGUUUUUCUGUCAUUACGAUAACUCGAUACAGAAAUCUCUAAAGAUCACACUUGAUUACAGUGUUGGACGGGUAUUUUUUGUUGCACCUGUCAGUCUUAGAACGAUGUUUCAAUUCCGUUCAUAGAAAAGAGAUUUUCGUAUUAAGAACUUUGAUAGUUAAUUAGCUAAUAGUUAGACUGUAUUAAUUCUAUCGGACGUUUUGUACAAGUAUUAUAUCUCUCAGAUCUCACGCUCAGCGUGGAAGGCAGUCAUUUUAGCCACUAGCCUGUUUUACAGCGGAUGUUUUUCCCGCGUUAACAGAGAUUUAAUCCACUUGUACCACGUGACUCGCCGAAUAUGGAAUAAUCGUUAACUGCUUUUUUAGUUAUCUGCUUUUAUGACAGUGGACAUGACACGUAUUAGAUUUGCCUUUGUCUGAGCCGAGCAUUUGUAGCUCAAACUCAUAGAAAGUAUGUUUAGCGCGCACGACACGUUUUUGUGCAGCGUGCGGGACUAGAAUAUUUUUAACUUAACAUUUUUUCUAGAGUUUAUCUCCUAAUUUAACUCGGAUAGUCGGAUAUCUAUUUUUUAACAAAGAAAGUAUAGGGAGCUAUGACUUUAAGAUUGUAAAAGUCAUGAGUUAAAUUAUUAGUAAGUACUUUUUCUUUUUUAAAGUAGGGGGAAUGUUAGAAUCUUAAUUCUAUUUGUAGCUUGUUUUUGUACUUACAUAUUACUAACCCUGUAUCUCACUUUAGCAAAGGUUUAGUUCCAGUGAUUGUAUAUACAGUGUUGGGGUAAAGGGACUCCAGAAGGCAGACAAGGCUCGACUCCAGACUCUAGUUGAAGUAACAGAAGAGAGAGGAGUGUCCAGUGUUUAGUUGACUCCAGACUCUAGCGUAGCAGAAGGGAGAGGAGUGACGUUGUCGACUCCAGACUCUAGCGUAGCAGAAGGGAGAGGAGUGACGUUGUUUUAGUGAUCCCACAGAUUCCAGUCGACAGAUACUAUCUGUGUUCUGUGACGUGGAAAGAGUGGGUUUUGUUUUAUAGUUAUCAGUUCCAGUUUUACUUGAAGUCCUCAUCAUUCAGAAGUCCCUCAUAUAGUAAGAAGAACAUCAUCAUCAGGAGUAGUAGUUUUAAUUUAAUAGUAGUUUAAUCUAAUAGUAAAAAAGACAUUGUUUAGUUUAGUAUUGAAAUGUGUUUUAACUAUUAGUCAGAGCAGAGUAGUGUGAGUUACUGAGUCACACCAUAUCAAUCAUUCACUAUUUAAGAGAGUACAUUGUAGAGUAACAAGGUUACUUUUGACACAAGAUUUGUAUAACC